rnacentral:lncRNA from 1 species
UCCAGAUCUCUGCAGCUCGUGUGCACUGUGCCGGGCCCGAUGCAAGGCUGCGCGGCUUGCACUCAAACCUCCUUGGGGUUCUGUCAACUUCUCCCGACGGCGGCGGUUGGGGAAGAUCCAGGACGGUCACGGUCCGGAGCUGCUGCCCACCUCAGCUGAGCGGGACAGUGACCUGAAGAUUGACAAGAAGUGUGUGGAAGCAGCACCGGAGAUCAAACUCAGGACCUUGUGCUUGUGAGGCAGGUGACAGAACCACUGAGCUAAAUCCCCAGCCCUACUUUUUUUUUUUUUUUGAACUCACUAUGCAUUCCAGGCUGGUCUUGAACUCACAGCAAUCCUCCUGCCUCAGCCUUCUAAGUGCUGGCAUUACAGGCAUGCACCACCACACCUGGCAACAGUUGUUCUAACAGGUGCCAAAGAUGGUUUAUGUUUUGUCUUCCUCAGUCACCUGAACAAACCCACCCCAAGCUGUCCACCCCUCCUCGUCUCAGUCGGGGACCCUGGCUCUGCAGGCAGCACCACCUGCUGGACUUUCCUGAACAUUCAACUUUUCCCUUCCCUCUGAGCUGCUUUUAAAAUUUUAUUUAUUCUCCCCUAUUACUUUAUUUAUUGUUCUGAGCUCUUAUUACACCCUGUCAUCAUGCCCACUGUACUGUGACUCAACCUUGAGCUAAGAAACACAUUUUGAGGUGUGUGGUGGAACAGGUCAGCAGUUAGGCUGCUGAGAUGUAGGUAGACUCAGCAUGGACAGUAAUGAAAGGACGUUCUUGUUUUCUGCCUCCAUGGAAAACCAUAGAUGAAGAAGCAUUUGAAUCUGGUAAAUUAAAAAUUAAUAUUGUAUUUGGUGCUGCUUUUUAAAUGUAUAUUUCAUAUUUUGCUAUAAUUUAAACAUUUAAGGAUGUUACACAAUAAUUGAGUGCAACAGUGAAAUAAAAUAAGAAUAAAAAUAAACAUGGGAGAUUGUUAGUUUGCUUCAUAUAGUAACAGUGUGGUAUCUGUAUGUAUGCUGUAACAUUAGGUUGCAAACCUCAAACACACAUAAUAAAAUUUAUUUUUAAAAUUGCCAGACAUGGUGGAUUAUAGGCGCACACCUAUAAUCCCAGUACUUGGGAGGCUGAUGUAGUGGGAUCACUGUAAGUUUGAGGCCAGCCUGGACUACAUAGCGAGGCCUUGUCUCUAAAACAAACAAAAAGUGCAAUAAAGGCUGCAGUUGUGAGACAGAAAGCUUGGAAGUGCUGUCCAGGCGGGGCACCAGCUCUGCGUGAGCAGAGUGGGCGUGCCCAGCAGGGCCAGUGUGCGAGACCUCCUCGGUGACCGCUGUCUCUUGACAGAUGCCUUCCUGCUGGCCAAGC